AUUAAUUUUAUAUUUACAGGCUCAUUUAGAAUCAAAAUGAGUGCUCCAUUGAAGCUGUACACUCUUGUGUAGUUUGUGACCAGAGGAAGAAAGAGGAAAUAACGCCAAGUUAAUAUAGUACCAUCAAAAUGCAUUGAAUUUAAUAAAACAAGACAAAGAGACACUACGAAGUUUUUAACAACCAUUGAAAAUGAGGAAGACAGUCGCUUACUCCAUGACAUAGUGAAGGAUCUAAGUGACCCCCCGGAAAGCUGGACAUCAUAUUCAGUCAAUAUCUUGGGUGAUGCAGCUACUUAUGAAAAAGCUGUUGAGAAUAUCUCACGUCUCGAAGUGGAGUUACACGCAUUCAGCUUAGAUUCUGGUGAAGAGUUGGAAGACAGACAGAGCAAAAUAUUGGAAGAGGUUAAAAGGCAAAAGCUUUUGAAAGAGAGCGCAGCACUUGAUGAUAUGCUGGCUCCUCCACCAAAAAAUGUGGAUUCUGAUAAUGAUGCCAUCAGUACUCCAAAAUCAGUCAGAAGUCUAAGGAAGUCGUAUUUUAGUGAUUUUGAUUGAGUCAGAUGAUAAGAAAUCAACGAGCAUGUCUACUGUAGAGGGACCAGUUGAUCAAGAUAAUGUGCCAGCACACCUCAAUCAGAAGAGAUCAGACAACGAGCCCAACAAUACACCUAUUUUGUCAUCUGAACAGCAUAAAAAGGAUUCCCACAAGAAUGUCGGUGCCCCUAAGAACACAAAUAAUGGAACAGCUGUUUUGUCAUCUCAACUUCAGAACAAGAAUUCUUCCAAAAGUGCUUUAAUGAACAGACAGAAGGGACCAUCUGUUUUGAAUUUGGAGUUACCGGUGAUUGAAAUUCCUCAUGUUGAAUCUCCUUCGGAUUUUCAGACUGCAGUACUGACAUCUCUCUCCGUAAUACUUACAGCAAAUGAACAGAAAACUCGAUAACUUAGAAAAGUACCUGUAUGACAAAGAAGUGACAAGUACAGCUGCGAACAAGAUAGAUUUUGAUGGGGAAUACAGCUUUAAACUACCUAUAGAAGACAAGCCUGCUUUCAUAAAAUUUAAUGAAGAGUUAAGUGUAAAUAAAUACGAAGAAAGAUGUCCUUACGAUACUGAAGUCUUGCUUGGAUACAGAUAACUAUGUUAUAACCAAAAGUAUAUGUUCGAUGCUUAAGAAGUUUAUAACAAAAGCAGUAGCUCUUGCGUAUACGGUAGUCAGGAAAUCAUCAAAGGAUCCGAGAGACAUCUUCAAGUCUUGUGAAUUUUACAUAGCCAUAGAAUAUGUAAUUACUUCUGCAAGAAAAGAAAAAAAUUUAGAAGUAAGUAGUAAACUAUUUACCAAAGGACUGAGUGAUGUUCUUUGCAAUGCAAUGUAUUGGGAUGUCAAGAGAACAAAGAAGUAGUUUUUGAAAAUUUUGAUUACGCUAAAAACUGUGUUAAUUGCUAGAUAUAAUUUUAAUUUUUACUAUGAUAAUUUUUCUUAAAUGUU